rnacentral:tRNA from 1 species
UACAUACUAGCUCAAAAGUAGAGCAUUCGUCUCUUAAACGAAAAGUUGCAGGUGCGAUUCCUGCGUGUGUCACCA